CAUGGCGCCGCCAGCUCCGUCCACCCCAAGCCUCGCCGCUGCCACCGUUGGAACCGCCUCGUCGCCCUCUACGUUCGGGUGCAAGGAAUCGAGCUAAUACCCUGUAAAUCGAGCGCAGUUUCGCGGAUUCCUUGCGCUGGUCGUCGUCUUUCUUCUUCGAUUCCGGCGAACCUCGGCCUCCCCUGCUUCUUCCGAGCACACGUUGAGCUUCAGGCAGCUCGCCGGCGACCCUCCUCCGGUGGUCCCCCGCUCCCGGCGCCGCCUCCAUCUGGUCCGCGUCGACAAGACGCGUCGUCUGCGCCAAGCCUCGCUUCCUGGGGAGCCCUGCGUCGCCCGCGCGCAACCGUGCUGACCGCGGUGACCACCGCCACGGGAACACGCGCUGGCAUCCCCUUUCCGUCGAGCACCUUCCGUGCGUGCCUGGAUGGUUUGCCACGGUAGCCUCCACGUCAACCCUCGGGCCCCAUCCGUCAUCCUCUCGGGCUAAGCCCAUCCUGCAUUUGCUUCUUCCCGGAUAGGAUCGCGAAGUGGUGUUGUGAGAUACGACAAGUUCUUCUGCAGCUUUUCACAGGCGAGCCCACCCCUUCACCUAUUUUACAUUUACAUGCUCUUUUGAUCUAUUGCUAUCCUUAUGUUGCGAUUCUGUUGUGUCACGUGCCCUAUCCACCUGUUACCUAUAUGUCCGAGAUACACCUCCUCGCCCUACCUAUUGUUUGUUGUUUGCCAGCUUUGCGAGUCGUAGGCGAGUUUAGGGUUUUGUUGAUAUCUCGAAAUGUUCGGGAUAUCUUGUUGGGAGGUUAUCACAUGCUAUAUCUUUUGUUGGAGAUAAUCACACUUUACUUUAUUGUUAACAACUAAAAUUGUAAGCAGAGGCAUCUGUGAGCCCCUUUGCGAAAGCAUCGGAACUUUGACUCGCUAAUGUCCCCUAGGACCCGAGUUCUUGUUAUCUGUUCCGAGAUUGAGCGCUCUACCCGUACGUGGGGGAAUGGGACCCCCAUCACCCACUACCUUUCCUCGAGUCUGUUUAUUGGGAGCCACAACCUUGGUUUUAUUUUGCUCAUAUGCAUGAUGCACGAUUUACUUCUGUUGCCUUCGGGUGUUUAUUUCUGUACUGUACUCAUAACGUGGAACGAUUAGCGACAGCAGGUUGUUCACACUUAGCUUAGCCGUUGGCACAAACCUCUGGGUCCGUAUCGGAGUACGGCCGAACUUCGUCACGGGUAGCUUAGUUGGGUGGCUCCCAUUAAACUUUCUCUUGCAUUGGGAACGGUCUUGAUGUGAGACUCCACCUGUAGUAAGUGGGUUCGAGCAUGCGUAUGGUUACAUUUGGGCAACCCCUGCAGGGUGUACAUCUUAUCGAUAAGCCGUGUCCGCGGUUAUGGACGACUUGGAAUUGUAUAGCUCGAUCAUAGAACAACUUACACCUUAUUUCCUGUUGUUAAUAAAUUGCUAAUAAAACUCUUUCAAAAGUGUGUGUGCCUUUGCAGUACCUCUUGGCGAAGGGGGAUCGCAUCGGCUGUGUUAUGUUUGCAGAGUAUAGAACUGCUAGAUUAUGCGCUUUCUCACCUUUUCUAAUAGACGAAUGUUGUAGCGUGUCUCUAUUGGAUAGUAGCUUUGCUGCCGCUAAGCUCCACAUAUAGCCGGGUGAAGUUUAUACCGCCCACCAGCGAGCAUAGCUGGUCUUGUCUCGCAAGUACGUGCCAAUGGUACUUACCCUCGCCUUCCUUUCUUUUUGUCUCCUCCCCCUUUUGUCGGCAACCGAUGGCCCGACUUUGACAGGUACGAGAUGAUGACGUUAGCAAGGUUACCCUUCCGGCUUGGCCUGGGCCGGGUUAUGGACGCCACUGGUUAUCUUCAGGACUCUUAGUCCAAUUUGUAUCUUGUCCGUACUCGGACAUAUUCGAUCUUCUGUAUGAUUUGGAUCUUUGUAUUGUAUAUUUGUAUCUUGACUCGUUGGAGUCGUUGUUGUAAUAUAUGUAUCUCGUGGGCUCUAUUGUAAUCCCGUUGUAA